rnacentral:rRNA from 1 species
CUCUAAAUAAAUAACAUGUUGAAUCCACCAGUUCCCAGUGGGUCACUGAAGUCAAGCAACGUCGCCCGCGGUUAAUAUUCGGAUGGGUGACUCUCUGGACAAUACAGUGAGCGC